rnacentral:rRNA from 1 species
GACGAACGCUGGCGGCGUGCCUAAUACAUGCAAGUCGAACGCAGUGGGGACGGGUGAGUAACACGUUGGUAACCUCCCAUCAGAGCUGAUAACACUUGGAAACAGGUGCUAAACCGAUACUGAUGGAUGAACCCGCGGUGCAUUAGCUAGUUGGUGGGGUAAGGGCUCACCAAGGCCCCGAUGCAUAGCCGAACUGAGAGGGUGAUCGGCCAAGCUGGAACUGAGACACGGCCCAGACUCCUACGGGAGGCAGCAGUAGGGAAUGCUCGGCAAUGGACGAAAGCCUGACCGAGCAACGACGAGUGAGUGAAGAAGGUUAUCGGCUCGUAAAACACUGUUGUUAGAGCAGCGGUAUCUAACCAGAAAGCCACGGCUAACUACGUGCCAGCAGCCGCGGUAAUUC